CCUGGUUGAUCCUGCCAGUAGUCAUAUGCUUGUCUCAAAGAUUAAGCCAUGCAUGUCUAAGUGCAUGCCAAAUUAAGGUGAAACCGCGAAUGGCUCAUUAAAUCAGUUAUGGUUCCUUAGAUCGUACCCACAUUUACUUGGAUAACUGUGGUAAUUCUAGAGCUAAUACAUGCAAACCAGAGUUCCGACCAGAGAUGGAAGGAACGCUUUUAUUAGAUCAAAACCAAUCGGUGGCGGGCUUUGCUCGUCCACCGUUUACUUUGGUGACUCUGAAUAACUUUGUGCUGAUCGCACGGUCUCGUACCGGCGACGCAUCUUUCAAAUGUCUGCCUUAUCAACUGUCGAUGGUAGGUUCUGCGCCUACCAUGGUUGUAACGGGUAACGGGGAAUCAGGGUUCGAUUCCGGAGAGGGAGCCUGAGAAACGGCUACCACAUCCAAGGAAGGCAGCAGGCGCGCAAAUUACCCACUCCCGGCACGGGGAGGUAGUGACGAAAAAUAACGAUACGGGACUCAUCCGAGGCCCCGUAAUCGGAAUGAGUACACUUUAAAUCCUUUAACGAGGAUCAAUUGGAGGGCAAGUCUGGUGCCAGCAGCCGCGGUAAUUCCAGCUCCAAUAGCGUAUAUUAAAGUUGUUGCGGUUAAAAAGCUCGUAGUUGAAUCUGUGUCGCACGCUGUCGGUUCGCCGCUCGCGGUGUUUAACUGACAUGCUCGUGAGACGUCCUACCGGUGGGCUUAGCUCCUUCGGGGGCGGUCCAACUAAUAUCCCAUCGCGGUGCUCUUUAUUGAGUGUCGAGGUGGGCCGGUACGUUUACUUUGAACAAAUUAGAGUGCUUAAAGCAGGCUAUCAUUUGCCUGAAUAUUCUGUGCAUGGAAUAAUGGAAUAGGACCUCGGUUCUAUUUUGUUGGUUUUAAGAAACCCGAGGUAAUGAUUAAUAGGGACAGAUGGGGGCAUUCGUAUUGCGACGUUAGAGGUGAAAUUCUUGGAUCGUCGCAAGACGGACAGAAGCGAAAGCAUUUGCCAAAAAUGUUUUCAUUAAUCAAGAACGAAAGUUAGAGGUUCGAAGGCGAUCAGAUACCGCCCUAGUUCUAACCAUAAACGAUGCCAGCUAGCGAUCCGCCGAAGUUCCUCCGAUGACUCGGCGGGCAGCUUCCGGGAAACCAAAGCUUUUGGGUUCCGGGGGAAGUAUGGUUGCAAAGCUGAAACUUAAAGGAAUUGACGGAAGGGCACCACCAGGAGUGGAGCCUGCGGCUUAAUUUGACUCAACACGGGAAACCUCACCAGGCCCGGACACCGGAAGGAUUGACAGAUUGAGAGCUCUUUCUUGAUUCGGUGGGUGGUGGUGCAUGGCCGUUCUUAGUUGGUGGAGCG
rnacentral:rRNA from 1 species